CGCUGCUCAGAGCAAACCUGCCGAAAGGCAGUGACGCAGAGCUACGGGGCUACCGCGACGUGAGUCGCCACGCCCGCCGGGCCGCCAGC
rnacentral:ncRNA from 1 species